AAAUAACCGCAAUUCCGUGGAGUUACAGUGCCCACUCAGCUAGUUUUUACCGAGCCACGACGUGCAAUAAGCACCGAAAUGGUAAGUUAAUCGUGAUAUUUUACUGUAGUUGCGCUCGUGGAAUGAAAGAGACAAGAAUUUACACAAACAAAAUGCAUUUGUUUUCCUCGUUUGCUUUAUGCGUUGAUUUUGUUCACUUCUGUACAACAUCUAAUCGCUGGAAGAGUCUUUUGUGUAAACAUUUAUUAAAAAAGUGGAAAAGAAUUAAUAAAUAAAUCAAAUUAAUAUAAACAGACUCCGUAAGAGUGAAAGGGAAGCUAACAUUGCAAAGUUAGCGUUGUGCAGGAAAGAUAACAGAUAACAGCAAUGAAAUCGAUUCUCCAGCCAGCUGGCGUUUUGAGCGGCUUAAACUUUAUUUUGAGUGAGGAAAUUGUUCUAGCCUAUAACGUAAGGGAAGAAGGCCCUUAGGACCCACAAAGAAUUUUUUGCAGCUUUGCUAGAAUGUAUUCCGCCUGGCGAUGAGCCCCCGAAAACACUGUGCGGAAGGCAAUGCAAAGGAUGAAGAAAAGGGUGUUUAAGAAGAAGUGUCUUGCCAAAAACCAGGAGAAGGCUAAGCAUCAUAUAA